CGGACGGGUGAGUAACGCGUGGGCAACCUGCCCUGUACUGGGGGAUAACACCUGGAAACAGGUGCUAAUACCGCAUAAGCGCGCUGUGCCGCAUGGCGCGGCGCGGAAAACCCCGGUGGUAUACGAUGGAUCCGCGUCUGAUUAGCCAGUUGGCGGGGUAACGGCCCACCAAAGCGACGAUCAGUAGCCGGCCUGAGAGGGUGAACGGCCACAUUGGGACUGAGACACGGCCCAA
rnacentral:rRNA from 1 species